rnacentral:rRNA from 1 species
CAGGUGUAGCAAUACAUGCUGACGAGCGGCGAACGGGUGAGUAAUACUUUGGAAUCUUCCCAGUAGUGGGGAAUAACCAGUCGAAAGAUUGGCUAAUACCGCAUACGUCCCUAGUUUGAAAGAAUUGGGGGGAAAGCGGGGGCUCGCAAGACCUCGCGCUAUUGGAUGAGCCAAAGUCGGAUUAGCUAGUUGGUGGGGUAAUGGCCUACCAAGGCGACAAUCCGUAGCUGGUCUGAGAGGACGACCAGCCACACCGGAACUGAGACACGGUCCGGACUCCUACGGGAGGCAGCAGUGGGGAAUAUUGGACAAUGGGGGAAACCCUGAUCCAGCGACGCCGCGUGUGUGAAGAAGGCCUGCGGG